GGUUCCCAAGGACAAAGAAGAGCUUGCAGCUCUGCAGGCAAGGCUAAAGAAGAAAUUCCCUGUGGAUGCAUACAAUCAAGCGCGAAAGGAGCUGGACCCAAACCGCAUCCUAUCUAAUAACAUGCUUGAAAAGCUCUUCCCUUCCUCUGAGGCUGUGUAAUCUUGGUUGGUUUACGUCAACUCUUUAUCAAAUUAUAUUUUUACGAUAGUGAUCAUCUUCAUGCCUGUUUCAAAGCAAAUAUUUUGCGAGGAAAUUUUUGUCCUGUAUAUUGUUGUUCAGAAUGUUAAGUUGAAGGAAUUGUUACAAACUUAUAAUAAUGCUUACCAUGCACUGAAUAUGCUUGAGGCCAG
rnacentral:misc_RNA from 1 species